AUACGGAGGGGGCUAGCGUUGUUCGGAAUCACUGGGCGUAAAGCGCUCGUAGGCGGAUCAGUCAGUCAGAGGUGAAAUCCCAAGGCUCAACCUUGGAACUGCCUUUGAUACUGCUGGUCUUGAGGUCGAGAGAGGUAAGUGGAAUUCCUAGUGUAGAGGUGAAAUUCGUAGAUAUUAGGAAGAACACCAGUGGCGAAGGCGGCUUACUGGCUCGAUUCUGACGCUGAGGAGCGAAAGCGUGGGGAGCAAACAGGAUUAGAAACCCUAGUAGUCC
rnacentral:rRNA from 1 species